CGCCGUAAACGAUGAAUACUCGUUGUCUGCAAUAUAACGUAGGCGACUGAGCGAAAGCAUUAAGUAUUCCACCUGGGGAGUACGUUGGCAACAAUGAAACUCAAAGGAAUUGACGGGGGCCCGCACAAGCGGAGGAACAUGUGGUUUAAUUCGAUGAUACGCGAGGAACCUUACCCGGGUUUAAAUGUAGGACGAAACUCUGAGAGAUCGGAGCCUCUUCGGACGGACUACAAGGUGCUGCAUGGCUGUCGUCAGCUCGUGCCGUGAGGUGUCGGGUUAAGUCCCAUAACGAGCGCAACCCCUAUCGUUAGUUGCUAACAGGUUAAGCUGAGGACUCUAGCGAGACUGCCACCGUAAGGUGUGAGGAAGGUGGGGAUGACGUCAAGUCAGCACGGCCCUUAUAUCCGGGGCUACACACGUGUUACAAUGGUCGAUACAAAGGGCAGCUACACAGUGAUGUGAUGCAAAUCUCAAAAAUCGAUCUCAGUUCGGAUUGAAGUCUGCAACUCGACUUCAUGAAGGUGGAUUCGCUAGUAAUCGUGCAUCAGCAACGGCACGGUGAAUACGUUCCCGGGCCUUGUACACACCGCCCGUCAAGCCAUGGAAGUUGGGAGUACCUGAAGUCUGUAACCGCAAGGAGCGGCCUAAGGUAAAACCAGUAACUGGGGCUAAGUCGUAACAAGGUA
rnacentral:rRNA from 1 species